CCUACGGGGUGCAGCAGUGGGGAAUAUUGGGCAAUGGGCGCAAGCCUGACCCAGCAACGCCGCGUGAAGGAAGAAGGCUUUCGGGUUGUAAACUUCUUUUAAGAGGGAAGAGCAGAAGACGGUACCUCUUGAAUAAGCCACGGCUAACUACGUGCCAGCAGCCGCGGUAAUACGUAGGUGGCAAGCGUUGUCCGGAUUUACUGGGUGUAAAGGGCGUGUAGCCGGGCUGACAAGUCAGAUGUGAAAUUCCGGGGCUCAACCGCGGACCUGCAUUUGAAACUGUUGGUCUUGAGUAUCGGUGAGGCAGGCGGAAUUCCUGGUGUAGCGGUGAAAUGCGUAGAUAUUAGGAAGAACACCAGUGGCGAAGGCAGCCUGCUGGACGGCAACUGACGGUGAGGCGCGAAAGCGUGGGGAGCAAACAGGAUUAGAUACCCUAGUAGUC
rnacentral:rRNA from 1 species